GCCCCUGUAGCCCAAUUGGAAGAGGUAACUCGCUUAGAACGAGGAGGUUACUGGUUCAAAUCCAGUCAGGGGCA
rnacentral:tRNA from 2 species